GAUGAACGCUGGCGGCGUGCUUAACACAUGCAAGUCGAACGAUGAAGCCCAGCUUGCUGGGUGGAUUAGUGGCGAACGGGUGAGUAACACGUGAGUAACCUGCCCUUAACUCUGGGAUAAGCCUGGGAAACUGGGUCUAAUACCGGAUAGGAGCGUCCACCGCAUGGUGGGUGUUGGAAAGAUUUAUCGGUUUUGGAUGGACUCGCGGCCUAUCAGCUUGUUGGUGAGGUAAUGGCUCACCAAGGCGACGACGGGUAGCCGGCCUGAGAGGGUGACCGGCCACACUGGGACUGAGACACGGCCCAGACUCCUACGGGAGGCAGCAGUGGGGAAUAUUGCACAAUGGGCGAAAGCCUGAUGCAGCGACGCCGCGUGAGGGAUGACGGCCUUCGGGUUGUAAACCUCUUUCAGUAGGGAAGAAGCGAAAGUGACGGUACCUGCAGAAGAAGCACCGGCUAACUGCGUG
rnacentral:rRNA from 1 species